rnacentral:tRNA from 1 species
GACUUCGUAGCUCAGCUGGUAGAGCAAAUGACUCUUAAUCAUUGGGUCGAGGGUUCGAUCCCCUCCGAAGUCA